rnacentral:snoRNA from 1 species
UCCCUCAGAUUCCUUAUCCCUCAAACCCUAAAUAGUGGUUUGAGUGGCUUAAAAAGAAAGUAGGAAAAGUAAAAUUGAAAUGAUCUUGGAAUUUUUAGUGACAAGCACGUUCAUUUCAAACAAAC